AGGAGCCGUGUGACGGGAGACCGUCACGCACGGUUCUGCGAGAGCCGGGAGGUGAAACCCCUCCCGGCUACUCGAC
rnacentral:ncRNA from 4 species